rnacentral:rRNA from 1 species
AUUGAACGCUGGCGGCAUGCCUUACACAUGCAAGUCGAACGGUAACGCGGGGCAACCUGGCGACGAGUGGCGAACGGGUGAGUAAUGUAUCGGAACGUGCCCAGUUGUGGGGGAUAACUGCUCGAAAGAGCAGCUAAUACCGCAUACGACCUGAGGGUGAAAGCGGGGGAUCGCAAGACCUCGCGCAAUUGGAGCGGCCGAUAUCAGAUUAGGUAGUUGGUGGGGUAAAGGCUCACCAAGCCAACGAUCUGUAGCUGGUCUGAGAGGACGACCAGCCCCACUGGGACUGAGACACGGCCCAGACUCCUACGGGAGGCAGCAGUGGGGAAUUUUGGACAAUGGACGCAAGUCUGAUCCAGCCAUGCCGCGUGCGGGAAGAAGGCCUUCGGGUUGUAAACCGCUUUUGUCAGGGAAGAAACGCUCUGGGUUAAUACCUCGGGGUAAUGACGGUACCUGAAGAAUAAGCACCGGCUAACUACGUGCCAGCCGCCGCUGUAAUAC